AUGGCCCUGGGYGAGACGGGGCUCAGGGCCACGGCGAGGAGCCGGCGAUGCUCCGCAGAGGGCCAGGUCACCCCGUGGGUGCUCGGCAUGGGCUGCCGGGAGCCGUGCAGCCCUCCAAGGUCACCGGUGCAGCGCAGGCAUGGGCCGCUCCGGCCGUGCCGCAGGACAGGGCAAGGGGCAGCUCCGGCCCCAGGAGGGUCCCUGGGAGUCAGGAAAGCCUGUGGGCUCCCGGGGUGCUUUAACACCCGACUCCUCAGAGACUUGGCCCAGGCCAACCAGCGCAGCCGUGGGCUCGUGGCUCGCUGGAGCCCACUGCACCGCUAUGAUCCCCUGCAGCCCCGGCAGCAAAACCCUCCUGGCCACGGGGCCAAGCGCAGCCACAACCCUGUGGGCAGGGCGACCUGUGCUGCAAGGCYGCCGACAGCCCGGGCGGCUGCAUGGGAGCUGCAGCCUGCGGCAGCCCCGUCCUGCUGCGGAUGCGGUGCCCAGCCGGGGAGCGGGGGCGGCUCCGCCAGCCGGGGCUGCAGCAUGGCUCYGGCCUCGGGGACGGCGCUGCCUGGAAGCCGCGUGCUGAGGGGAGUGGGGACGAUGCAGCCGGUCUGCAGCAGCCUCCGCAGCGCUGCCGGGCCGGGGGAGCCCGAAGGGUUAACCGGGUAUCCGUGCAGAGCCAGGCCUCGGGAGAGCCGUGGGGCUGCCGCUUGCCAGGGGGAACCAGGAUGCUGGUCCAGCAGUUUGUGCUGCAUCCCAUCACAGGUGGAGGAUCCCGGGGGACUGUGGCCAUGCUGGUGCUGGCAGGGCCCUGCACCCCGCGGCAAGGGCUCGGGGCUCCGGAGGCCACGGCGCGGCGUCGCUGCAGCUCGCCGGGCGCAGCGCGCGGGGCCGGCGCAGUACGUGCGCAUUUGGCACCCACCGGCUCCUUGCAGAGAGCUGCAGYGCGUGUGGUCAGCGUCUCCCGGCGCUGAGUCACGGCCCCGGCGGCGGCGGCGUGCCUGGUGCUGGCUGCCCCGGGGCUGCUGCCGGCCCGCUGCCGGCCCCGCUGGCCACCCCUCGCUUUCCCUGCGGGGCUGCUGCAGCCGCGGCCUCCUGGGCCCCCCCCCCCCCGGGGCUGCACCCUGUGCCCGGAGUUUGCACCCGGCGCCCCAAGCAGGAAUUUAG
rnacentral:lncRNA from 1 species